AUUGAACGCUGGCGGCAGGCCUAACACAUGCAAGUCGAGCGGAGCAGCAGAGGGGUGAGUGAUGCCUAGGAAUCUGCCUGGUAUUGGGGGAUCACGUCCGGAAACGGGCGCUAAUACCGCAUACUAUCAGAUGAGCCUAGGUCUGGUUAGCUAGUUGGUGGGGUAAAGGCCUACAAAGGCGACGAUCCGUAACUGGUCUGAGAGGAUGAUCAGUCACACUGGAACUGAGACACGGUCCAGACUCCUACGGGAGGCAGCAGUGGGGAAUAUUGGACAAUGGGCGAAAGCCUGAUCCAGCCAUGCCGCGUGUGUGAAGAAGGUCUUCGGAUUGUAAAGUACUUUCAGUUGGGAGGCGUUACCAACAGAAUAAGCACCGGCUAACUCCGUGCCAGCCGCCGCGGUAAUAC
rnacentral:rRNA from 1 species